rnacentral:tRNA from 1 species
UGACUCUAACUCAGUCGGUAGAGUGCUUUGCCUUGCAUGCACAAGGCCCUGGGUUCAAUCCCCAGCACCAA